rnacentral:rRNA from 1 species
CAGCCGUAAACUAUGCGCGUUAGGUGUAUCGGUGACCACGAGUUACCGAGGUGCCGAAGGGAAACCGUGAAACGUGCCGCCUGGGAAGUACGGUCGCAAGGCUGAAACUUAAAGGAAUUGGCGGGGGGAGCACCACAACGGGUGGAGCCUGCGGUUUAAUUGGACUCAACGCCGGGAUGCUCACCGGAUAGGACAGCAGAAUGAUUGCCGGGCUGAAGACCCUGCAUGACUAGCUGAGAGGAGGUGCAUGGCGUAGACGUCU